CCUACAGUAUAUUUUAACAUCUACCAUAAUGGUGGUACGCAGUCUAAAAAGUUUGAGAACCACUGUUGUAGUUGGUUCCACAGGUCUUUGAUGCAUAAAACAUAUCCCAGAAAUCAGUGAGGUAGUCUCUGGUGACCCCACUCCCAACUCCAGCCUCAGCCUCGCCACAUUCAAGCACACGCCUGAUUGAAAUAUUAGCAUCCAGUAUGCAGUUGUCUGUAAAUGCUUAAAUCAUGUCCACAAGACAGUGUGCGUUGCGGCUCACAAUGACUUGCUUCUCCACUAUAUUCUCUGGAUUUUCAAAGAAAUCAAUGGCAAUCGUGCUGGUGGAACUUGAAGCCUGCUCAGAAUCCACAAUGUGAAUAAUAUCUUCUUCCAUCUCAGCUGCCACAACUUCUUCUAUUUAAUUUUCAAAGACUGUGUUUGCGCCGCUUUCUUGUUGGCUGUUAACUAGCCAGGAAUCUAGACUUACUGUGGUCUUGACGUGUAGAGGUGAGUAUAUCAGAGUGUCAGCAAGACCAUCGACAAGUUCACAAGGCAUGUUGGUGUCAUAUCCAAGUACAAUAACUUCAUCAUCACUGGAGAGAUCUAUAAGAGGCUGGCCUGAUGUUUGAGAAGAAGGAGUAGCUUGGAAUGUUGAGGUAGUAUUGGGACUGCUCCAAGAGAAAGGCCUACUCCUGUACCGAGGUCUUUUGACAGGAGUGGGGGAGAGCAGUGAUGGGCUGGAUGAGGAUGGAGAUGCAUGUGUAGCUGGCCCAAGUGUGUUGGAUGUGUCAGGUGAAAAUGGCAUGUCUGUUGUUGCAUCACUAAGCUCAGAAUCACUACAAUCUUUUGGCUUUGUACAGAGGUAUAGUCUGUGGAUCUUGUAAUUAGUUUGCUCUAACAAACUUCAAACUGUGACACUACCCUCAAGGGGCUCCUCAGAACCAAUGACAUAAA